rnacentral:rRNA from 1 species
AUUGAACGCUGGCGGCAGGCCUAACACAUGCAAGUCGAGCGAGCGGCGGACGGGUGUGUAAUGUAUGGGGACUGUGCGUUAGAGGGGGGUAACUACUGGAAACGGUAGCUAAUACCGCACACUCUCGGAGAACCCCUAUGGGAUUAGCUAGUAGGUGGGGUAAUGGCUCACCUAGGCGACGAUCCCUCGCUGGUCUGAGAGGAUGAUCAGCCACACUGGGACUGAGACACGGCCCAGACUCCUACGGAGGCAGCAGUGGGGAAUAUUGCACAAUGGGCGCAAGCCUGAUGCAGCCAUGCCGCGUGUAUGAAGAAGGCCCUAGGGUUGUAAAGUACUUUCAGUCGGGAGGCGUUACCCGCAGAAGAAGCACCGGCUAACUCCGUGCCAGCCGCCGCGGUAAUAC